CAAUGGUGUCAGCCGAAGCAGGCACAACAAACUGCACGCGUACGCACCCUGACAUUUCGGGCAAGGGGACGGAGAGGUAUGUGCACGGUCCGGCAAUAGGCCUAGUCCCGUACACAAUUCCUGUGUCCGACGUUCGUCUGGGAACACCUGGGCAAAAGAGAAGAGAGUCAUUGUUGCUAUUAAUGCGUCGACUGGGAUGGCACGGUCGGAGGACGACGGCGGUUCAGCCGGAGCUGACCACGCAGAUGUCGAAGGCUGGUCCAUAGUCCGUUGGCAUUGCUGUUAGUUCCAAGUACGAUGGCAAGCAUAGCAACCCAACAGAACGCGGCCCUAUAUAGGCAGGAGACGAAGCACGUAGAGAGCAAAGGCACACCGCAUUUAGAGGG
rnacentral:lncRNA from 1 species